rnacentral:lncRNA from 1 species
CCAUCCUCUGGAUCCUCUUCUAUUUAUUGGAGACCAUACCAGCCACAGAAGGGUUAAGGAUCACCCUACAAUAGAUCCAGAAGCCAUCUAUACCAGAGCCAGGUCCCUUGGCUCUGAUUUUGUGAGUGUUUCCUUGCACCUAUUGCACUUUAAUAUAUAUUGUAAACGAUCUACACUAUUUUGUAUAUCUCUCUUUCUCCACAGAAAUAUAUUGGAGAAGAGGAGAGAACAAAUAUUGCUCCAUCCAUUGUGUUUGUAUUGUAUUUCAUAUUUAAGACUAAAACAGCCAAACUGGAAAUAUUCUCCAAGUCAUCUAUGCUUCCCAUUUGACUUCUUUGGCCUUAACUUUGAAAUUCACAUUGAAUUUCCGAUAAUUAUCACUUUAGUAAGUGACCCUGUCUAGUGUGAAUUGCUGUGAAUUCAAAGUAAAUUGAAAUUUUUAGGCCAAAAUAAAAACAUUGACAAAAAAAAUUUUCUAACCGGACUGAAAAUUUAAAAUUCACGUUGAAUUUAUUUCAAUAAACACUUUAGUGAAUAACACUGAAAAAUUAUAAUAAAAACAUUGAUUCAAGCAUCCAUUGUAGUUUAUUUAAAGGGACACUAUAGUCACCAACACGACUUUAGCUUAAUGAAGCAGUUUGUGUAUAGAUCAUGCCUCUGAAGUUUCACGGAUUAAUUCUCUGCCAUUUAGGAAUUAAAUCACUUUUGUUUCUGUUUAUGCAACCCUAGACAUACCUCCACUGGCAGUGACUGACACAGCCUGCAUGAAAACAAAAUGCUUUCAUUUUAAAUCAGAGGUAGCUUAAUUUAAAAGUUUUUAUCUGUUCUGUAAUUUGAACUUUUGAUUACAUACCACAAGCUACUGCAAGGUUUUGCAAGCUAUUAACAGAGAAGGAGAUAAGAAAUUUGGAAUUAAACAUAAUUAGCAAUAAAGGAAGUAUAAACAUUAGAUGACUCGUUACAGGAAGUGUUUAGGAACUCUGUGUACGUCACAUGCAGGGAGGUGUGCCUAGGACUCCAUUAACAAAGUGAUUUAACUCCUAAAUGGCAGAAUUAAGCAGCGAGACUGCAGAAGCAUGAUUGAUACACAAAACUUUAUUAGUUGUUUUAGUGACUCUAGUGUCCCUUUAACAUGAUCCAUUUGAUCUUUAACCCUUUGGAAAACACCUUCCUUUCUAAAACAAUACCCACAACUUCUCGCAACUCAGCACCUCCCCAAAAUGUGGUAACGAUCAAGGGAAGAUCAAAACUAAAAGAUUGUGCAUGUGACAAAAGCAGGAAAGACUGCAUAUAUUUUAAUAGUUUUAUCAAACAGGAGCAGGGCGCUUCAAUUCCUUCUGCAUGUGCAUUUUGCUAACGUCAGCUUGUCUGUAACUAUUUAGUACAAUGCUGCAAAAUCUGGCGUCCUUCUAUAAAAAAUAAAUAAUAAAAGUAAACAAUAACAAAUGCAUCCGAUUUUGGAUAAUUUUUUUGCUUUAAGAGUCUAAUGGAUUGAGGCCUUGCAUUUUUAUUUUUGAUGUGUGCAUGUUACAAUGUUGCAGGUGUUUAAUUGUAAGAAUGUAUAUAUUAUUUGUUAUGACAUUAAAUAGAUAUAUGUUUUAGGUCUAGAGAAAAGUCCCACUGCUAAUACAAAAUAAAUUUUAAACACACAAUCUGAAAGAAUUCUUUCACACAAACAUAUUUAUCCUGAGAAUACGCUGGUAUUGUGCAUGCAAUAAAAAUUGGUAAAUAAAAAAGAUUAAGUUAUUUUUCAAUAAACACAAAAUGCAUAACUUAGCAAUCCAUCAUUAAUAGGUAGGUGUGUGUCAUCCAAUUGCUCAUUUUCAUUUCAGAAAUUUACAAAGGAUUUCAGGAGAAAUCUGAUACACAUGUUAUCACAACUUUGCCUUUGUUACAUGUCCCAUGCGCAAAGCCUUAAACGGGAACUGUCACUUUGCUAGAUUUGUAAUAUUUUUUUUUAUGCAUCCAUAUAUUUUAUUAACGUAUUUGUGAGGUGUGAAAAAUAAAAUUAAUGGUAGAAAACUACACCUGUUUACCCUACAGCUGGGCACCUCCAUUUUAUCUCCCUGUAAAUCACUAUUUUAAAGGGACACUAUUGAACCCAGAACAACUACAACUUAAUGUAGUGGUUCUUGUGUCUAUAGUCUGUCCCUGCAGGUUCAGCAAUGUAAAUGCUGUCCUUUCAGACAAAAGGCAAGCUUUACAUUGCUGCCUAGUAACACCUCUAACACCUCUAACGGCUGUCACUGUGACUAAAGGGACUUCCUGGGUUAGGUCCAGCAAUCUUUGCAGGACCUAUGUUCAGUGUCUUCAGGCCCUGCAUGGAGCAGCUGAACGCACCCCACAUUAAUGAAUUGAUUAAAAUGCUGAUUGGCACAGGGCGGGGUUUUGUCGUGCAUGGGCAAUAGUCUCUUAAUGCUUCCCCAAGGGAAAGCAUUGGAUUGGCUGCGAUCAUCAAGAUUGAUGAUCAGAGCCACGGAGGGGAGGCCAGCCUUGGUGAGACCAGCACGGCUCUAGAAAAAAAGUAAGUAAAACUAAUUUUUAACUCCAUUUUGGAAAAAGGGGGAGAUAGGUAAUCAAGCAGUAUAGUGCUAGGGAUACAGGUUUGUCUUCCUAACACUAUAAGUUUCCUUUAACCCCUUAAGGACACAUGCCAUGUGUGACAUGUCAUGAUUCCCUUUUAUUCCAGAAGUUUGGUCCUUAAGGGGUUAAACUAUGCAAUUUCCACCUGGCAGUUAGCAUUAGCAAAUCAUACGGAAAUUGGGACAAAUUUAACAAGGUUUCUAUUUCUCUGCUGCCUUGGCAAAGUUUGCCCUGGCUUUGGCUUGUCUGAAUGGGAUUAUGAUCUGAUUCCAUAAUUAUUUUAUCUAAAUUUAAAAAAACAAAACCCAGAGCAUUUCAUGAGAAAAAGGUUAAUACACAUUAUAACUGAUUUUAAAUGUUCUAUUCAAUUUCAGAGAAGUGACAGCUCCUUUUUAUGUUAUGAUUCUUCCUCCUUUGAUAGGCAGUAACCCUGAAUUUAGCACUGCAAAGGACAGGAAACCUUUUAACUUUUGUCACAAUAUGCACAAUUUUAGAUUUAAAAAAAUAUCUAAACCUAAUAUAUUAUUAUCUCAUAGCUAGCAUCAUGUCUCCUCUCUACAAGUACUGGGGAAAAAAAAAAACCUCACUUUUUAAGUUAGGUCCCCUCUCUUACUGUCCGCUCUUCCAGUCAGGUCCUCUGCAUGCGGUCUCUACAGAACACAAUAUGGCUGCCCCUUCACUGACCUGACGAGUUAUGUGUAUCCAGUAUAUUGCAUUCAAAACAGAGGCACCAAUGCAAUUCAGUGCACAAAUAGCAUCAUAUACUGCAAACAACAGACAAACUGCUAACAGAAAUGCUAAAGGCACAGACAGCUUUGUACGAUAAUAGUAACAGAUGCACUGGAGAAUAAGUAAGAUUGCAGCUAUAGGUAGGGAAAGAAUCUCAUUUGCUUUUCUCAACUUCAUUAACAUUACCGCAGUCUAGAAACAGACAUUACAUGAUAAAACACAUGAACAAACAUAACAAAACAAAAAUAUUAUCUCUUACAAUUUUAGAAUUUUUGUGUCAUUACAUAUUAUCAGAAAUUACUUUUUUUUGCAGAUUUUUUUUCACAUAACAUAGGUAAUAAUAGUUAUUAGUUUAGCAAUUAAUUAACAUCCAUAAUGUGCUGCUUUGUGCCAGUUCUGGGUUAUGUCUUUGCAUGUACUGAAGUGAAUGUCCAUUCUACAUACUCCCUGAAAAGCAAUCAGAUUGUAUUCAUUUUUUCAAAGGGAUAGAGAAAAAAAGAGUGGAGAAAAAUAUAUGCUAAUUUAGUUUAUAAUAGAAGACCUAGCACGAGGUGUGUAAUUGACUAUCCUUUAUCUCUAAAUUUGGCAUAAUUCUUACCUGGUGCAAAGCACAAAGAAACAAAUUAAUGUUGAAGAAUAAAACACAGGUCAGGGGAAUGAAUAUAAAAUUAAAAGUAUGUUAAAAGAGUGUGGGGAUUCUAUUUCAAGUGUUACACCACACUUGAGAAUUUCUACAAGUCAGUUCCAUUAGGGGAAGAAAGUAGGGGUCCACUGAAAAGAAAUAAAAAAUAAAAAAAAUGUCUCACCCAGAAAGAAGGCAGUCCUUUGCAAGACACAAAAUGGGGUCACCUGGAAAGGGAAUAAACCAGAUGUUCUGGAGAGAACUACAAGCCACUCAAAGCACCCAGAGUAGACAUCUUUAAACUUGGCAACCAGCUGGCAGACGUAGAGUCUCCAUAUGAAAGAUGGAGAUUUCUCGAUAUCAGUUUAUAUCACUAUGCUAUUAUUAUAUAUUCAGAUUGCUAUCUACUAUAGAAGUUUAAUUACACAUUGCAAUGCAGAAACUUUUAACAAAGUGUGCCAUUUACAAAAAGAAAUAAAUCUGUAUAUUAAUAGGUAGUGAUGUCCCGAACGGUUUGCCGCGGACUCAUCAUUGAGUAAACUUUGACCCUGUACCUCACAGUCAGCAGACACAUUCCAGCCAAUCAGCAGCAGACCCUCCCUCCCAGACCCUCCCACCUCCUGGACAGCAUCC